CCCUUAGAUGUUCUGGGCCGCACGCGCGCUACACUGACGAAGUCAGCGAGCAUGUCCUACGCCGACAGGUGCGGGGAAUCUUGUCAAACUUCGUCGUGAUGGGGAUUGAUUAUUGAAAUUCUUGAUCAUCAACGAGGAAUUCCUAGUAAGCGCAAGUCAGCAGCUUGCGUUGAUUACGUCCCUGCCCUUUGUACACACCGCCCGUCGCUACUACCGAUUGAAUGGUUUAGUGAGAUCUUGGGAUUGGCGCCACUGCGGCUCAGCAAUGGGCUCGGUGGAUGCCGAAAAGUUGAUCAAACUUGAUCAUUUAGAGGAAGUAAAAGUCGUAACA
rnacentral:rRNA from 1 species